ACACUCCUUUGAUGCCUUUUUAUGUCUAAUAAUUUAAGAAAUGAAAUUAUUAGACUUCGUCAAAAUGAAAGAAGGCAGGCUAGGCGAGCUGAGAUAAACCGCCGUCAAAAUGAAAGAGAUGAGCCCAGGCGAGCUGAAAUUAAUGGUCGUCGAAUGGAAAGAGAUGAGCCCCGGCGAGCUGAGAUAAAUCGUCGUCGAAUUGAAAGAGAUGAACCCCGGCGAGCUGAAAUAAAUUGUAAUCAAAAUGAAAGAAAUCAGGCUAGGCGAGAACUUAAUAGGUAUAAUAUGCAUCGCAUAGCAAGAAAUAAUAUUGCUAUAGAGAGUAACUACCUCGGAGAAUUAAACCAUAAUUGUCAGUAUUGCAGUGCAAAGAAGUUUUUAAAUGAAACUCAUUUUUUGUGCUGCCAUUCAGGAAAAUUUGCAUUAGCUCCUCUUUCUCUUUAUCCGCCAUUGUUGACUGGUUUAAUGACAGGAAACCAUGUUGAUCAUGCUGUAAAUCAAAAUUUUUUUAAACACAUAAGGAGUUAUAAUUCCUCUUUAUCUUUUGCUUCCUUCACUGCCGAAAUAGCUCCUCCCUCAAAUAAUGGCCCUUUCUGUUUUAGGGUCUGUGGGCAAAUUUUGCAUCGUGUUGGAAAUUUAAGGCCUGCAGAAGGUUGUCUGCCCAAAUAUUGUCAGCUGUAUAUCUAUGAUCCUAAUGCAGCAGUGUCAUUCAGAAUGGAACAACCUGGUAAUGAUGGUUGUAUACAUGAGUUAAUGCAACUCUUGCAUUAACUCAUUGUAGGACUUAAUUUAUGGAUUUAAUUUAUGGAUAUGACUUAAUUUAUGGAUUAAUUGGUUUUGUUGCAUUUUUAACUUUCUUUUAUUUAUCUCUAGCUGCUGCUUCUUCUGUUACAACUGCUGCUUCUUCUGUUACAAGCUCGAAGUCAUGGGAAGAAUUCAGAAAGUAUCGCUCCCAGCAUCCAGGCCCUCUAUCUAUGAGGGCCUUCCAUCGCUGGUGUUUGUAUGGGGACGACCAUCCCUCCUUUAGAUGGAGGGAUGGCACCCCAUACAACACGGGGAAUAGAGCGGAUGCUGGGAGGAGAAGACAACGUGGCGCA